GUAACAAGGUUUCCGUAGGUGAACCUGCGGAAGGAUCAUUACCUAGAGUUUGUGGGCUUUGCCCGCUACCUCUUACCCAUGUCUUUUGAGUACUUACGUUUCCUCGGCGGGUCCGCCCGCCGAUUGGACAAAAUCAAACCCUUUGCAGUUGCAAUCAGCGUCUGAAAAACAUAAUAGUUACAACUUUCAACAACGGAUCUCUUGGUUCUGGCAUCGAUGAAGAACGCAGCGAAAUGCGAUAAGUAGUGUGAAUUGCAGAAUUCAGUGAAUCAUCGAAUCUUUGAACGCACAUUGCGCCCCUUGGUAUUCCAUGGGGCAUGCCUGUUCGAGCGUCAUUUGUACCUUCAAGCUUUGCUUGGUGUUGGGUGUUUGUCUCGCCUCUGCGUGUAGACUCGCCUUAAAACAAUUGGCAGCCGGCGUAUUGAUUUCGGAGCGCAGUACAUCUCGCGCUUUGCACUCAUAACGACGACGUCCAAAAGUACAUUUUUACACUCUUGACCUCGGAUCAGGUAGCGGAUACCCGCUGAACUUAAGCAUAUC
rnacentral:rRNA from 1 species